GGGAACAUACCCUUUUCUAAGGAAUAGCCACUGGAAACGGUGAGUAAUACCUUAUACGCCCUUCGGGGGAAAGAUUUAUCGGAGAAGGAUUGGCCCGCGUUAGAUUAGGUAGUUGGUGGGGUAACGGCCUACCAAGCCGACGAUCUAUAGCUGGUCUGAGAGGAUGAUCAGCCACACUGGGACUGAGACACGGCCCAGACUCCUACGGGAGGCAGCAGUGGGGAAUAUUGGACAAUGGGCGCAAGCCUGAUCCAGCCAUUCCGCGUGAGUGAUGACGGCCCUAGGGUUGUAAAGCUCUUUCAACGGUGAAGAUAAUGACGGUAACCGUAGAAGAAGCCCCGGCUAACUUCGUGCCAGCAGCCGCGGUAAUACGAAGGGGGCUAGCGUUGUUCGGAAUUACUGGGCGUAAAGCGCACGUAGGCGGAUUGUUAAGUUAGGGGUGAAAUCCCGGGGCUCAACCUCGGAACUGCCUUUAAUACUGGCAAUCUAGAGAUCUAGAGAGGUGAGUGGAAUUCCGAGUGUAGAGGUGAAAUUCGUAGAUAUUCGGAGGAACACCAGUGGCGAAGGCGGCUCACUGGCUAGAUACUGACGCUGAGGUGCGAAAGUGUGGGGAGCAAACAGGAUUAGAUACCCUGGUAGUCCACACUGUAAACGAUGAGAGCUAGCUGUCAGGUUGCAUGCAAUUUGGUGGCGCAGUUAACACAUUAAGCUCUCCGCCUGGGGAGUACGGUCACAAGAUUAAAACUCAAAGAAAUUGACGGGGGCCCGCACAAGCGGUGGAGCAUG
rnacentral:rRNA from 1 species